rnacentral:tRNA from 1 species
GUCAGUGUGACAUAGUGGUUUGAGCAUUGGACUAUGACUCUGGAGACCAGGGAUCAAUUCCUGCUCGGCCA